rnacentral:rRNA from 1 species
GCACGUGAAAUUCCGUCGGAAUCUGGGAGGACCAUCUCCUAAGGCUAAAUACUCUCUAGUGACCGAUAGUGAACCAGUACCGUGAGGGAAAGGUGAAAAGUACCCCGGAAGGGGAGUGAAAGAGAACUUGAAACCGUGUGCUUACAAGUAGUCAGAGCCCGUUAAUGGGUGAUGGCGUGCCUUUUGUAGAAUGAACCGGCGAGUUACGAUCUGAUGCAAGGUUAAGCAGCAAAUGUGGAGCCGCAGCGAAAGCGAGUCUGAAUAGGGCGUUGAGUAUUUGGUCGUAGACCCGAAACCAGGUGAUCUACCCUUGGUCAGGUUGAAGUUCAGGUAACACUGAAUGGAGGACCGAACCGACUUACGUUGAAAAGUGAGCGGAUGAACUGAGGGUAGCGGAGAAAUUCCAAUCGAACUUGGAGAUAGCUGGUUCUCUCCGAAAUAGCUUUAGGGCUAGCCUCAAGUGAUGAUUAUUGGAGGUAGAGCACUGUUUGGACGAGGGGCCCCUCUCGGGUUACCGAAUUCAGACAAACUCCGAAUGCCAAUUAAUUUAACUUGGGAGUCAGAACAUGGGUGAUAAGGUCCGUGUUCGAAAGGGAAACAGCCCAGACCACCAGCUAAGGUCCCAAAAUAUAUGUUAAGUGGAAAAGGAUGUGGCGUUGCCCAGACAACUAGGAUGUUGGCUUAGAAGCAGCCAUCAUUUAAAGAGUGCGUAAUAGCUCACUAGUCGAGUGACACUGCGCCGAAAAUGUACCGGGGCUAAACAUAUUACCGAAGCUGUGGAUUGUCCUUUGGACAAUGGUAGGAGAGCGUUCUAAGGGCGUCGAAGCAUGAUCGCAAGGACAUGUGGAGCGCUUAGAAGUGAGAAUGCCGGUGUGAGUAGCGAAAGACGGGUGAGAAUCCCGUCCACCGAUUGACUAAGGUUUCCAGAGGAAGGCUCGUCCGCUCUGGGUUAGUCGGGUCCUAAGCUGAGGCCGACAGGCGUAGGCGAUGGAUAACAGGUUGAUAUUCCUGUACCACCUAGUAUCGUUUUAAUCGAUGGGGGGACGCAGUAGGAUAGGCGAAGCGUGCUGUUGGAGUGCACGUCCAAGCAGUAAGGCUGAGUGUUAGGCAAAUCCGGCACUCAUAAGGCUGAGCUGUGAUGGGGAGAGGAAAUUGUUUCCUCGAGUCGUUGAUUUCACACUGCCGAGAAAAGCCUCUAGAUAGAUAACAGGUGCCCGUACCGCAAACCGACACAGGUAGUCAAGAUGAGAAUUCUAAGGUGAGCGAGCGAACUCUCGUUAAGGAACUCGGCAAAAUGACCCCGUAACUUCGGGAGAAGGGGUGCUCUUUAGGGUUCACGCCCAGAAGAGCCGCAGUGAAUAGGCCCAAGCGACUGUUUAUCAAAAACACAGGUCUCUGCUAAACCGUAAGGUGAUGUAUAGGGGCUGACGCCUGCCCGGUGCUGGAAGGUUAAGAGGAGUGGUUAGCUUCUGCGAAGCUACGAAUCGAAGCCCCAGUAAACGGCGGCCGUAACUAUAACGGUCCUAAGGUAGCGAAAUUCCUUGUCGGGUAAGUUCCGACCCGCACGAAAGGCGUAACGAUUUGGGCACUGUCUCAACGAGAGACUCGGUGAAAUCAUAGUACCUGUGAAGAUGCAGGUUACCCGCGACAGGACGGAAAGACCCCGUGGAGCUUUACUGUAGCCUGAUAUUGAAAUUCGGCACAGCUUGUACAGGAUAGGUAGGAGCCUUUGAAACGUGAGCGCUAGCUUACGUGGAGGCGUUGGUGGGAUACUACCCUAGCUGUGUUGGCUUUCUAACCCGCACCACUUAUCGUGGUGGGAGACAGUGUCAGGCGGGCAGUUUGACUGGGGCGGUCGCCUCCUAAAAGGUAACGGAGGCGCUCAAAGGUUCCCUCAGAAUGGUUGGAAAUCAUUCAUAGAGUGUAAAGGCAUAAGGGAGCUUGACUGCGAGACCUACAAGUCGAGCAGGGUCGAAAGACGGACUUAGUGAUCCGGUGGUUCCGCAUGGAAGGGCCAUCGCUCAACGGAUAAAAGCUACCCCGGGGAUAACAGGCUUAUCUCCCCCAAGAGUUCACAUCGACGGGGAGGUUUGGCACCUCGAUGUCGGCUCAUCGCAUCCUGGGGCUGUAGUCGGUCCCAAGGGUUGGGCUGUUCGCCCAUUAAAGCGGUACGCGAGCUGGGUUCAGAACGUCGUGAGACAGUUCGGUCCCUAUCCGUCGUGGGCGUAGGAAAUUUGAGAGGAGCUGUCCUUAGUACGAGAGGACCGGGAUGGACAUACCUCUGGUGUACCAGUUGUCGUGCCAACGGCAUAGCUGGGUAGCUAUGUAUGGACGGGAUAAGUGCUGAAAGCAUCUAAGCAUGAAGCCCCCCUCAAGAUGAGAUUUCCCAACUUCGGUUAUAAGAUCCCUCGAAGAUGACGAGGUUAAUAGGUUCGAGGUGGAAGCGUGGUGACACGUGGAGCUGACGAAUACUAAUCGAUCGAAGACUUAAUCAA